rnacentral:lncRNA from 1 species
UCCCUGUUUUCACGAAGUGACGGUAGUGAGCAAAAUCGCAUAUAUUUUCACUUUCGAUUUUUUUGCAUUUUUGGACAUCAUUCACUAACAUCUUGAACCUCAAAAAAUUUCAGACCGUAAUAAUAACUAAUUAUGUCACUAUGACGAUGACGUAAACAAGAAAAUACCUAGCAAAAGGAUUUUCUGUUUUCACGAAGUGACGGCCAAGUACGCGCUUAACAGCCGUCAAUUCGUGAAAACAUUGUUUGCUCUUUCCUGCUUUUAAUAUUUUCACGAAGUGACGGUAGUGAAAAUUUCGCAGUUUGGAAAAGUCACAGACCAUGAAAAGUUUCAGAUGCAGUAGAUACAAUUUGCACUUAUAUGAAGGAAGCACUGGGAAAGUACAUCUACUUUUCAAGAGUGCCACAGGCCAGAAACAAAUCCAGAUUGGAUACAGGGACCGACAUGCUGGGAAGAUGGGUCCUUGAUAAUUCACUGAACACAGAGCUGGGAUUGUGACUUGGCAAAGUGACCUAAGAGUGGGAGCGGUAUGAAACCGUUGAAGCAAUUCACCGAACACGUACAGUCAGAGCUGCAUGUGUGACUUGGCAUGGUGGCCCUUACAGUCUCCUGACGGCUCCGAUUGCGAUUCUGAUGAUGACCCAUUGUCUAUGCUUCUGAGCGAGUCAAAAGUCUAGAUAAAGGAUCUUCGCUGCUUCAACCACUAUUGCUUGGAUGACAUACGUGUGAAGAAACUUGAAGAAGUGUUGUUGAAGAGCAUGCUUGAGAAACUAGAAUCAAUUACAUGAUCGUUUUGACAAUGCUUCAAUGUUUCAAUACCUCAAUCUCUCUUUUAUACUGUUUUAUUUUAAACAUUUUAAAUAUCAUAAACAAAGCAAACACCACUCAUAAUUGUAAUUGUGUGUUGUAAUCGCAAUGAAAUGGAUUGAUUAUAAAAUCAAUGAAUUGAUUUAAAGCAAACUGGUAACAUUGUCCAUGAUUUCUGAAACAAUGAACUGAAAAGUCGUACAGGUGUCAGUUUUCUGUUACAGUAUUGCAAUGAACUCCUGCACACAUAAAUCUUUAUUAUUCAAAUGUAUAGCUCAGAACAGCUAUUUAUCAGGUAUACCUACCUCAAUCAGUAAUGCAUAUUAGAGUUUUCGGAUCCAGUUCCAUGAAUCCUCAUAUCGUAUCUUUGUAUUGAAGAAUUUGUUUAUCUAUUUUCUUUAAAUUUUUGUAUUCACAGGGGUUGAUGCCUUCAUUAGAACAUGAAUAUAAGUUACAUUUCCACAAUUGAUUUUUCUUUCAAAACACAACACAAUGUUACUAGUUCACAUUUAAUGUUUUUAUUUUUACUUCUAUAGUCAUUCUCAUCAUAAUUGUAUUUGGUACUUCAAACUAUCUUAUAAUCAUACAAUAUAAUGUUGCUGUUUUGAAUUUUAUCUGUUUGAUGAGAAAUGAAAUUGUUUAGUCAAAUUGAUAUUUCCAUGUUUAUCAUGCAUUUUUCAGCUGAUAAUUGUUUAGUCAGAGAUUACGUGUUUGCCUGGGUGAAGACAACCUUUUAGCAUUGGUAAACUUUGUAGCGUUUGAGACUGUGUACUAAAUUUUAUUGAAAUACCCUAGAAAGAGAUUGUGUAAACUGACUUGCUUCUGAAACUCUACUCACAAGAUAUUAAUGAAAAACAGUAAUGAACAAAAAAGUAAUGAUGAUGAUUAUAUUAGUCAUAUUUCCCAUUGAAAAAACUGUGCCAUCUUUUUUUUUCGAGAACUGCCUCGUUUUGUUACGAUCAACAUGUAAACCUUUCAGCCAGAACCGGAUAACCAUGGCGUGCAAGAAAGAGACUAUACCACACAGUACUGUUUUGAAUACCUCUUUUGUCUUCAGGUAAAAAAAAUCUGUGCAGAUGAACCUUUAAAAAAAAGAGUUUAUUUAGCAACCAGUAUAUUUCAGCAUGCUAAUGAUUUUAAAAUUUCUUAUUCAUUUUGUUUUGGAAUGGUAUUUUGAAUAUAGAUUUAUUUCUUUGUUGACUUCAUCAUACAUGUAGUAUGUGGCAUUUAUUUGCUAUGAUUGCUGAAUAAACAUGAUAACCAGGACAUGUAUGAAGAAUAAGUUAAAGACAUUUUUUUAGCAUAUUUAGUACUGUAUAAUGUGCUAAAUAACCUUUGUAUUCCGUGGCUGUAUACCUGAUGAGUCUUUUCCACAAAUCCCUAAAUGUACAUUUCAAAAUGCAAUAUAGUAUUGAUGAUAAUUGAUGAUGAUAUGUUUGGUAUGAAUUAUUUAAUAUUUUUAAUUUAUUCUCCAUUUGCCACUUGCUGUUCUGGUUCCAAAUGUUUGAAUUAAAACUGCGCAGUCGAAAUUCA